CCAACCAUAGCUCAGUUGGUAGAGCGGAGGACUGUAGAAUUAAGCCUUUCAGGCCACUUCAUAGCUGAUAUCCUUAGGUCACUGGUUCGAAUCCGGUUGGUUGGA
rnacentral:tRNA from 1 species